rnacentral:rRNA from 1 species
GACGAACGCUGGCGGCGUGCUUAACACAUGCAAGUCGAACGGAAAGGCCCUGCCUUUGUUCGGUGGACGAGUUGCGAACGGGUGAGUAACACGUGAGUAACCUGCCCUUGACCUUGGGAUAACUUCAGGAAACGGUAGCUAAUACCGCAUAGGAGCUCAUGCUGCAUGGUGGGGGCUGGAAAGUUUCGGCGGUUGGGGUAGGACUUGCGGCUUCUCAGCUUGUGGGGGUUGUAGUGGCUUCCCAAGGCUUAGACGGCUAGCCGGCCUGAGAGGGUGACCGGCCACAUUGGGAUUGAGAUACGGCCCAGACGCAUACUGGAGGCAGCAGUGGGGAAUAGUGCACAAUGGGCGGCAGCCGUAUGCAGCAACGCCGCGUGCGGGAUGACUGCCUUCGGGUUGUAAACCGCUUGCGCCUGUAAAGAAGCGUGAGUGACGGUAAUUGGUAAGGAAGCAACGGCUAACUACGUG